rnacentral:sRNA from 1 species
AGUCCAGCCCCUCGCUUUACCCGGACGAAAGACACGGGCCUGAUUUCUUCGAGUCUCAUUGAGCCUUAGUCGUCGGCAAGUCCCAGGCGCGAAGUUUCUCGGCCUGGAGGAGGGGGUCGCGCGAAGUGCCAGAUGCAGGCGGGGAAGCCCAUCCUCUAUUCCUAUUUCCGAAGCUCCUGCUCAUGGAGAGUUCGAAUUGCUCUGGCCUUGAAAGGCAUCGACUACGAGACGGUGCCCAUCAAUCUCAUAAAGGAUGGGGGCCAACAGUUCUCUAAGGACUUCCAGGCACUGAAUCCUAUGAAGCAGGUGCCAGCCCUGAAGAUUGAUGGAAUCACCAUUCACCAGUCACUGGCCAUCAUUGAGUAUCUAGAGGAGACGCGUCCCACUCCGCGACUUCUGCCUCAGGACCCAAAGAAGAGGGCCAGCGUGCGUAUGAUUUCUGACCUCAUCGCUGGUGGCAUCCAGCCCCUGCAGAACCUGUCUGUCCUGAAGCAAGUGCGAGAGGAGAUGCAGCUGACCUGGGCCCAGAACGCCAUCACUUCUGGCUUUAACGGUGAGUCCUCACCCCUGUGAGCUGCCCCACAGUGGCCUCUUAGAGGUAUGGCCCUCGCACACAGGGGCCUGGGUAUCUGAACCAGCCUCCCAGGCUGCUUUGGGCCUGACAGUUGCAUGGAUGAGGGCAGGACUGGGGAGGCAAUGGGCUGGGUGGGCAUCCAGACCUUAGCUCCAGCACUUCUGGGAACCUUGGUCCCUGAGUCCACAGCCCUUCAUAGCUGGAUGGCCCAACUUCAGCUUCACUGCCUACUCCAGCUGGGAAACCAAGGCCAGCACAGCGCCAGCCAUCAGAGU